GGGGGGCUGGCGCAACGGUAGCGCGUCAGAUUCCAGAAAACCGGAAUCUCCUGAAGGUUAAGGGUUCAAAUCCCUUGUCCCUCA
rnacentral:tRNA from 2 species